rnacentral:rRNA from 1 species
CCUACGGGUGGCUGCAGUGAGGAAUAUUGGUCAAUGGGCGGGAGCCUGAACCAGCCAAGUCGCGUGAGGGAUGACGGCUCUAUGGGUUGUAAACCUCUUUUGCCGGGGAGCAAAGUGCCGCACGUGUGCGGUUUGGAGAGUACCCGGAGAAAAAGCAUCGGCUCACUCCGUGCCAGCAGCCGCGGUAAUACGGAGGAUGCGAGCGUUAUCCGGAUUUAUUGGGGUUAAAGGGGGCGUAGGCGGACGCUUAAGUCAGCGGAAAAAUUGCGGGGCUCAACCUCGGCGAGCCGUUGACACUGGGUGCCGUGAGUGGGCGAGAAGUACGCGGAAUGCGGGGUGUAGCGGUGAAAUGCAGAGAUAUGACGCAGAACUACGAUUGCGAAGGCAGCGUACCGGCGCCCAACUGACGCUGAAGCACGAAGGCGUGGGUAUCGAACAGGAUUAGAUACCCGGGUAG